UCCGCCGAACCCCUCCUCCCCACACGCGAUCCUCCUCCGCCACUCUCCUCGCCGCCGCCCCACACGCGAUUCCUCGUCUACGCCGUGCCCUUCCCUCCCUCGGCUCGACGUCAACCCUCGUCGCGCCCUCCUGCGAGUCUAGGUUUUCCAGCCGUGCCCUGCCCUCCCUCACCGCGACUUCGACCGUCGCCUCGCCGAGCCUCCCUCCCUCGCUAGGAAGAAGUAGGUUUUCCCUACACUGUGACGAAGCUAAGUUUUCCCAACACUGCGACGAAGCUAGGUUUUCCCUUGCUCGCCAAUGCGUCUCCUGCCGACAUUUCUAUUUCAAAGGUUUUUGAAACCUGACGGCAUUUCUAUUCCAUCACCGUUCUGCAACCAGUGACAGCAACAAAACUGUAUAACUAUAAAUGGACGAAAAUAGAGUUGAUGAUCAGGAAUACAUUCCUCAAGUUGCAGAUGUUAGAAAGCCAAAAAUUGGGAUGAAAUUCUCAUCGCUAGAGGAAGCAUAUUCAUUCUAUAACCAAUAUGCACGAGAAGUCGGAUUUAGUUCAAGGAUAAACACAAGCAAGAAAAAUAAGAUAACAAACGAAGUGAUGUGGAAACAAAUUGUAUGCUUUAAAGAAGGGCAUACUGAUCUAAUGCGGAAUGCUAAACAUGGAAAAACUGAUCAACUGAUAAGGGAAAGAGCACGUGGCACAGUUAGAACAGGUUGUAAGUCAAAUAUUGUACUUGUUAAGAAAUAGACCGGACCUAAUUGGGUUGUCAGUAACUUCGUAGAAAUCCAUAAUCAUCCACUCUCGACUACCUUAAGGUGCAUUUGUUACCCUCACAUCGUAGAGUUUCAGCAGCAAAAAAAAUAUUAACUAAACAGUUUUCAAAGGCCAAUGUACCAACUUGUCAACAAAUGCGAUUAUUAGAGAUAGAAUAUGGAGGACCUGAGGGGGUAGGUUGCACAGAAAGAGAUAUUAGAAACUUUGAGAAAACCCUAAAAGAUGAUCAAAAGGAUAUCGAUGCCGAAACACUGAUCGAGUUAUUUACAUCUGAGCAAGAGAAGAAUUCAUCUUUUUUCUUUGAUUACGAGAUUGAUUCAGAUAACAAAUUUAGUAGGUGUUUUUGGGCUGAUAAUGUAUCAAGGAGGGCAUAUGGUGUAUUUGGUGAUGUAGUUGUAUUUGAUACAACAUAUAACACCAACAAAUAUGGCUUGAUUUUGACACCAUUUGUAGGAGUUAAUCAUCAUCAUUAGACAAUUAUUUUUGGUUGUGGGUUUCUAAGUGAUGAAAAAACUGAAUCUUUUGUUUGGUUACUUCAGAAGUUCAUAGAAGCAAUGCCUAAGGGUCCACCAAAUGUAAUCAUCACUGAUCAGGAUCCUGCUAUGACGAAAGUCAUUGCACAAGUUUUUUCAUAAACAGUGUAUCGAUAUUAUUUGUGGCACAUACUGAACAAAUUUUCAGAUAAAUUAGACCCUUUGACCUUUCAAAAUCAUUAUCAAAGCAUAAAGAAUGUCAUUGUAAAUUCUACAACACUUGAUGAUUUUGAGAAGUCAUGGGAAGAGGUUAUCAAAUGUGCUAACUUGGAGAAAAAUGAUUGGUUAUCCUCGAUGUAUGAAUUGCGACACAAGUGGGUGCCGGUAUAUUUUAGGCAUGUAUUUUGUGCUGGAAUGUUAAGUAGUCAAAGAUCUGAAAGCUCGCAUUCAUUUUUCAAGAGGUAUAUUUCAAAUAAGAACUCAUUGAUGAAUUUUAUCACCCGUUUCAAUAGGGCACUGAGACACCAAAAACAUAAUGAGUUAGUUGCAGACCAUGUUGAUAUGAAUGAGCAUCCCAAGAUUAAGACAAACUGGCCAAUGAAAACUCAAAUGGUUAAGUUGUAUACAAAAAAGAAAUGGCUGGAGUUUCAAAGUGAAAUGACCGACAGUCAUGGUUAUUAUGUACAAUCGGCAUUUACAGGAGUUGACUCAGUGGUUUAUCAUGUGAUGAAAUUUCAAAGUUCUUCUUCUUCCAAACCAAGGAUGCUUACACAUGACAAACAGAGGGACUAUAUAUCGUGUAGUUGUACGAAAUUUGAGUUUGAGGGCAUUCUAUGCAGACAUAUGUUAGCAUUUUUUCGUAUCAACCAAGUGUUUCAUUUGCCUGAUACGUAUAUACUCAAACGAUGGACACAAGAUGCAAAGGUUGGAGCAAUAUAUGCUUUGGGGAAGCAAAAUUGCGUCGAUGAUCCAGAUCCAGAAAGAUUUUUGAUGUCUAGACACUUGAGGUUAUCCUAUAAAGCUUCAGUGUUAAUUGAUGAUGCAUCUUUGACUAAUGAGGGGACAAACUUCUUGGAAGAACAAUUCGAUUGUAUCUACAACAAAAUUCAAGAGAUAAACAUUAGUAAAACAUGCGGUGAUAGAAAUAAAAGGAAGAAAUCCAUGGAUGAAGGUCUUGGUAUUAUUGAUCAUUCUUCAGUAAGAACAAAGGGAUGUAGGAAAAGAUUGAAAUAAUUAAAGGAGAAGUCAAUCUCAAAGUCCAGGAUAUGUCCUGGAUGUGGACAUUGAGGUGUGUCACAUGACAAGCGCAACUGCCCAAUUUUACAGCAAAAGUAUGUGUCAAUUAAUUCUGCAUUUCUAUUAUAAUUUUACUUGCAAACUCAAAUUCUUUUUAUUAUAUUACAUUUUAUAAAUAUGACGAUGUGUCGACUGUCAGAUCAACUGAAGAUAAUUAUCAUAACAGCAUUGACGACACAUAUGAAGUAGAUUUGACAUCUAGAGCUGGUUCUAACAACAUGCGGUAGGAUAUUUGUAAUUAUUUAUGACGACUGAUAACUGGUGCUGUUCUUUUUGAUAUUUAGUUGUUGAAAUACAAUUCAAUGACUUGCUUACAACUUGCAUGCGGUAUAUGGGAAAAGAAUUAAAAUGUACUCUCUUUUCAAAUGUUUCAAACUUGGAUGAUCUGGUUGGGCUACCUGUUCACAGUUCUGGAGUGUUAGAGUGUAUACUAAAAGUCUAGCUUUUGUAUAAACAUUUAUUUAGAAAUAA